rnacentral:rRNA from 1 species
UACAGAGGUCUCAAGCGUUGUUCGGAUUCAUUGGGCGUAAAGGGCUCGUAGGCGGUCUGUCACGUCGGGAGUGAAAACUCAGGGCUUAACCCUGAGCCUGCUUCCGAUACGGGCAGACUAGAGGUAUGCAGGGGAGAACGGAAUUCCUGGUGUAGCGGUGAAAUGCGCAGAUAUCAGGAGGAACACCGGUGGCGAAGGCGGUUCUCUGGGCAUUACCUGACGCUGAGGAGCGAAAGUGUGGGGAGCGAACAGG